rnacentral:lncRNA from 1 species
CGUCAGCCUUGAAUCACAACAGCGAGCGUUUUCUGACAUCAAUUGCCACAGCUUAAAGAGGCUUGGGCUCGACAGACUGUAAAGUUGUUCGCGGGAUCUGGAGCUGAGUGACAAAACGCCCAUCAGGAGGUGUAAACCUGUCGAUGGCAAUUACCCACCAGGGAUCCUGGAGAAGCGGAAGAGGGAAACCUUGUAAAUCCAAGAGGCCCCAUUUGAAUGACUUAUUUAUUUGGGCAUCAUUUAAUGGAGGCUCCCAAAUGGACUUUGCUCUUCUGCAUGCUUUUUUUCCUUCCUAUUUACCUGGAACACAUCUGCUUGUGGAAGAGAGUGUCAGAACUGAAGAACGCCAUAUCAGCAUUCACAAUUAAUUUGAAGUACAGCACGCAGUUCAUGCCGUUUAACAGUAAGAAAACGUGUGUACCUAAAAGUAAGGAGAGAAAAGCCCAGGGCUCUUCAAGCCAAGUUACAGCUCAGCUCUAACGAUGAUUGUCCAAGAAUCAUGAUGAGUAAAAUUAAACCCAGUUGGAGUGAUCACCGAGCAAGCGUGAGUACAGAAUCAUGUUAUGCAACUCUACGGACAUGGGUUUGAGCAAGCAGCAGAGUUGGUGAUGGACAGGGAAGCCUGGCGUGCUGCAGUCCAUGGGGCCACAAAGAGUCGGACACGACUGAGCGACUGAAUGGAACUGAUGCCAUCAUUUGCCGUGCCAGGGAGGGGUCCACCGAGACUGAAUUUCUCAGCUUCCAGAGAGUAGCAGGUAAGAGACCACUGCUUUAGGAAAGUC